rnacentral:rRNA from 1 species
UACGUAGGGGGCAAGCGUUGUCCGGAUUUAUUGGGCGUAAAGAGCGUGUAGGCGGUCUGGUAGGUCCGUUGUGAAAACUCGAGGCUCAACCUCGAGACGCCGGUGGAAACCGUCUGGCUAGAGUCCGGAAGAGGAGAGUGGAAUUCCUGGUGUAGCGGUGAAAUGCGCAGAUAUCAGGAAGAACACCCGUGGCUAAGGCGGCUAUCUGGACGGACACUGACGCUGAGACGCGAAAGCGUGGGGAGCAA